CCUACGGGAGGCAGCAGUGAGGAAUAUUGGUCAAUGGGCGAGAGCCUGAACCAGCCAAGUCGCGUGAGGGAGUACUGCCCUAUGGGUUGUAAACCUCUUUUGUCGGGGAGCAAAAGCCGGACGUGUCCGGCUGUUAGAGUACCCGAAGAAAAAGCAUCGGCUAACUCCGUGCCCGCAGCCGCGGUAAUACGGAGGGUGCGAGGUUUAUCCGGAUUUAUUUGGUUUAAAGGGUGCGAAGGCGGAUUUUUGAGUCAGCGGUAAAAUGGUGGGCUGCAACCGCAUCCAGCCGUUGAAACUGGGGAGCUAGAGAGUGCGAGAGGUAUGCGGAAUGCGUGGUGUAGCGGUGAAAUGCAUAGAUAUCACGCAGAACCCCGAUUGCGAAGGCAGCAUACCAGUGCACAACUGACGCUCAGGCACGAAAGCGUGGGUAUCGAACAGGAUUAGAUACCCUUGUAGUC
rnacentral:rRNA from 1 species